rnacentral:rRNA from 1 species
UACGUAGGGGGCGAGCGUUGUCCGGAAUCAUUGGGCGUAAAGCGCGUGUAGGCGGCCCGGUAAGUCCGCUGUGAAAGUCCAGGGCUCAACCCUGGGAUGCCGGUGGAUACUGUCGGGCUCGAGUCCGGAAGAGGCGAGUGGAAUUCCUGGUGUAGCGGUGGAAUGCGCAGAUAUCAGGAGGAACACCGAUGGGCGAAGGCAGCUCGCUGGGACGGUGACUGACGCUGGAGGCGCGAAAGCGUGGGGAGCGAACAGG